rnacentral:rRNA from 1 species
AUACGGAGGGUGCAAGCGUUACUCGGAAUCACUGGGCGUAAAGCGCGCGCAGGCGGUCUUUUAAGUUGGAUGUGAAAGCCUACGGCUCAACCGUAGAACUGCAUCCAAAACUAUUAGACUAGAGUGUGGGAGAGGAAGAUGGAAUUAGUUGUGUAGGGGUAAAAUCCGUAGGGAUAACUAGGAAUACCAAAAGCGAAGGCGAUCUUCUGGAACAGUACUGACGCUGAGGCGCGAAAGCGUGGGGAGCAAACAGGAUUAGAAACCCCGGUAGUCC